CUCUAGGGGGUGCUGUUGGACAAGUUUGCUUGAGUGAAAAAGCUGCAUAACCACCUGGUCGUCGACAGGUAUAACAUGGGCUCGUCCGGGAGUUGAACCCGGGACCUCUCGCACCCUAAGCGAGAAUCAUACCCCUAGACCAACGAGCCUCUUUUCAAAGAAAACUUCCUCUAGGGGGUGCUGUUGGACAAGUUUGCUUGAGUGAAAAAGCUGCAUAACCACCUGGUCGUCGACAGGUAUAACAUGGGCUCGUCCGGGAGUUGAACCCGGGACCUCUCGCACCCUAAGCGAGAAUCAUACCCCUAGACCAACGAGCCUCUUUUCAAAGAAAACUUCCUCUAGGGGGUGCUGUUGGACAAGUUUGCUUGAGUGAAAAAGCUGCAUAACCACCUGGUCGUCGACAGGUAUAACAUGGGCUCGUCCGGGAGUUGAACCCGGGACCUCUCGCACCCUAAGCGAGAAUCAUACCCCUAGACCAACGAGCCUCUUUUCAAAGAAAACUUCCUCUAGGGGGUGCUGUUGGACAAGUUUGCUUGAGUGAAAAAGCUGCAUAACCACCUGGUCGUCGACAGGUA